rnacentral:tRNA from 1 species
GGCGCGGUAGCCAAGUGGUUAGGCAACGGUUUGCAAAACCGUCAAACGUGGGUUCGAAUCCCAUCCGCGCCU